AGAGUUUGAUCCUGGCUCAGGAUGAACGCUAGCGGCAGGCUUAACACAUGCAAGUCGAGGGGCAGCGGGUUGUAGCAAUACAAUGCCGGCGACCGGCGAAAGGGUGAGUAACGCGUGAGCAACAUGCCCGGUAGUGGAGGAUAGUCAUUGGAAACGAUGCGUAAUACUCCGUAACAACAGGGACCGCAUGAUCCUUGUUUAAUAGAUUUAUUGCUAUCGGAUUGGCUCGCGUACCAUUAGCUAGUUGGCGGGGUAACGGCCCACCAAGGCGACGAUGGUUAGGGGUUCUGAGAGGAAGGUCCCCCACAUUGGAACUGAGACACGGUCCAAACUCCUACGGGAGGCAGCAGUGAGGAAUAUUGGUCAAUGGGCGCGAGCCUGAACCAGCCAAGUAGCGUGCGGGAUGACGGCCCUACGGGUUGUAAACCGCUUUUGUCAGGGAAUAAAGUGGGGGAUGUGUCCCCUUUUGCAUGUACCUGUCGAAUAAGGACCGGCUAAUUCCGUGCC
rnacentral:rRNA from 1 species